rnacentral:lncRNA from 1 species
AAGAUUGCAAAGCCUGCUAUUAGACCAAAAAAUAGUUCUAAUAGAUAAAACACACAUGAAAGUCACAGUUGCCUCAUUAUUUCAACAAUACAGAGGGCUUUUGAUGAUUGGAAAGAUUAUCAUGAGGGCUAAUGACCCAAGAUGAAAAUUGUUUACAUUCAAUUCAACAAGCAUUGAUUGAACACAUCCUAUGUGCUGACUUCUGUGAAACAAUGGUUCAGGUUAGUUCUUGCCUGGACAAUUGUAGUAGCUUUCAAAUUGAGCUUGAUAUUGUUAUUUUUCCUCAUCAUAGAAGCUAUACAUGGCCAUUGAUGACAAGUUAGAAAACAGAACAGAGAAAAAAGUACAAAGAUAUGUUUUCUGAGAAUUUGGCAUUGUUGAGUAUGAUCCAAAGUUGAUAGGUGCAUUUAGAAACAUAAUUUUGAGACCCAUCAUGGGGACAUUUAUAUUCCAGAAGUUUUCUUUGUGAAAUGCUUUCCUGGCAUUUCUGGCCUCACACACAGAAUUUCUUUAACAAGAUUAAUUUUUGCUUCCACAACUUGUUCAAACCUUUAGCUUUAUCUUAUUUAACUUAAAACAAUUCUUUAAACCCUCUAAUGGCUUGAAUGAUCUUCACACCUCGGCCUCCUGAGUAGCUGGGACUACAGUUGUGCGCCACCACACUAGGCUAAUUUUUGUAUUUUUGUUGAGACAGGGUUUUACCAUGUAGCCAAGGCUGGUCUUGAACUC